UGGCCCGUAGCUCAACGGCAGAGCAAGGUUCUCAUAAAGCCUAGGUCGUGGGUUCAACUCCCACCGGGCCAACCA
rnacentral:tRNA from 1 species